UACGGAGGGUGCGAGCGUUGUCCGGAAUCAUUGGGCGUAAAGGGCGCGUAGGUGGCCCGGUCAGUUCGUGGUGAAAGCGCGGGGCUCAACCCUGCGUCGGCCAUGAAUACUGCCGCGGCUGGAGCACUGUAGAGGCAGGCGGAAUUCCGGGGUGUAGCGGUGGAAUGCGUAGAGAUCCGGAAGAACACCGGUGGCGAAGGCGGCCUGCUGGGCAGUUGCUGACACUGAGGCGCGACAGCGUGGGGAGCAAACAGG
rnacentral:rRNA from 1 species